rnacentral:lncRNA from 1 species
CAGGAGAAAGUUAUGCUACAGGACCCAGCUGAGAAAGCCUUCUAGAACCUCUCUUUGUAACCAGAAAGUCAAAGUGUCACCAGAGAAGAGUUCCCAGCCCCCUAACCCCAGUUCCUCUGACCUGAUGGAAAGAAGCUGACAGUGCUGCUGGGCAAAUCAAGAACCCCAACUUUGAAAAAGCCUUGUCCAUAGCCUACCUGACACUAAACUGAAAC